CGCAGAACCAGGACCGCGCCCGUCUUCCUGAGGCAGCUCCACCUGCGCCUGCGCAGACCCGAGUCCGCCGCCCUCGGCCCCGUGCCCGGCCCGCGCUUCCGGCUGCCGGGGUUGCUGUCUGCCGCCCGCCCCGAGCUGUGGUUCUGCGGUCCGGGGAGGGAACAAUGGGCGGAUUUCAGGCGUCCGGGCCGGGCAGCCUUCCUCUGAGGCCCCAGAGACGCGAUAAGAGGCAGUGAGCUGCGGUGAUGACCGAGGAUUUGGAAAGAAUCGCCCCGCUGACCCGGAGGCUUCGGACCGGCUGCCACCUUGCCUUGGUCUCCCAAGCCCACUGGCCUCUCGCCGCCCCGCCAAAGCCCCUCCUCUGGCCCACUCUCCGUCCAUCCAGCUUGAGCACGGUCGCUUUCGUCUUUGACUACAGAAUUUGCACUGACCCAGAGGACCCAAGCAUGGGACCUCCACUUUGCAUGUGAGCCUCACUGAUAGGCCUGCAAACUGCGUGGUUUUCACUGCUUAAAGAGUUGCAGAACCACAGCAGGGAAGCGCCACAGGGAUCCGCGAGGCACAUGGAAGAGAAAACUGGGAAGCACAUUGGCCAAAGUCUUGGAGUUCGCUAAUGAAAAGCAAAUCAGACCACCUCAGUCCUCUGCUUAGGACUCUGUAGUGGCUGCCCAGACUUACACACUUAUACAGCCUCAAGGCCUUCCAUCAUCAUCUGCCCCUGCUUAUUUUCCAAAAUACCCGGUUCUAUUCCAUUUCUUCACCAUCUUGUGGCCUUGCACAUUUGGCUCCCCGGUCCCAAUCUCCCGCUGACGGGGAGUUUGCUUAGAGACCAUUCCCUCUGGAAAUCCUUCAGCCUUUCUCUAUCUAGCUCGUUGAAUCCUAUCCAACGUUAUUUCAGGGUCGCCUGCUAUUCACUUCUCUACACCACCACCACCCACCAGACUGCAAAAGGCCCACAGUAAGUCCUAGUUAAUAUUAUGUCCCCAGCAUAUAAAUCCAGGCCAUGAUAGGGACUCCGUAAGUAUACAAUGAACGAAUCAGAGCUAUGCCAUGCACGCCCGCAUUGCUGUAAUAUUCAGGUGCUGCCCACUGGCCCUGUCACUCUGGUAACUAAAACAGCAGAUUCCAGCAUGAAGAUUCCUAUGCUAUGUGACAGAAGUGGGGAAACCAAGUCUCAGCGAGAAAGCCUAUCCUUCCAGUUCUUGGCAGAAUAUUAUAAGUUUUGUCUCUUAAGACUGGAGAGGAAUUUCCAACAUGAUAGUCUCCCUACUUCUGUAGUGCAGAGGGUAAAGUGUUCUCUUUAUUUAACUAAGAGAAGUAACUUAAGAACAGGUUUCAAAUCUUGUGCUGGGAUUUGACAGAGGUUGAGGGGCUGUGUGUACCCACUUCAACCAGAGCAGUAUCACUUUUAUUUUUUAACUAGCUUUACUUUUGGAAAAGAAAAGGAGCCAAGAAUUCUAUUACUGCCUUAAAAAAUGUUUCAAGUGGAGGAGGGUGUGGGCGUGGGGACUGGGUAUAUAGAAACACUUUGUACUUUUUGUUCAAUUUUGCUGUGAACCUAAAACUGCUCUACAAAAUAUAAUUUAUUGAUUUAAAAAAAAAAUGUUUUGAAGUCUACACAGACAAAGAAUUGUAGAUUAGAGCAACUGAAGAGCUGUGAACAAUUGUUAACAGCUAAUCAUUUCCAAGGGCUGUAGCCAGCAUUCCCAGUGAAGCAACAUACAGUAUUAUGACUUUCCAGCCUACCAAGCCCGCCCUUCUCCUUACCUUUUAUGUGGGGCCUGUGUUGUUAUCCUUUGUUUUUUUCUUCCCUGAUAGCAAAGGAUCUGAUUUUUAAUGGAUAUAGUGAGGCUCUAAGUAGUUUUAUUUCAUGAUUUGUUACCUUUAUAAAGCUGCUUUAUGACUUCUUAUUUGAAGAAGAGGGAGAGUAGAAAAAACAUAUGUGUAUAUACAUAAAACUGUUUUGGUUUGAAGCCCUAGAAUUUUUUUUAAUGCUCCUCCCCCACAAAGAUGUCCAAGUCCUAGUCCCUGGAACCUGAGAAUGUUACUUAUCAGGCAAAAGGAACUUUAUGGGGAUGAGAACAUUAAAAAAAUCUCAAGAUGGGGAAAUUAUUCUGGAUUAUCCACAUGGGCCUGAUACAAUCAUAAGAGUCCUUAUAAGGAGCAUCAGAGUCAGUGUUGGGACAGAAGAUGUGCUGACAGAAGCAGAGGCACAGUGAUUCAGUGUGUGUAAGACUCAACUGGUAAUGCACCACCAGCUUCAAAGAUGGAAAAGGGCACAGGCCAAGGAAUGCAACAGCCUCUAACACCUGGAAGAGGCCAGGAAAAAUCCCCCUGGAGCCUCCUUUUGGAUACUCUUCCUGCUAAUACCUUGACUUUAGCCAAGUCUGACAGAGGUUGGACUUUUGAUGCAAGAUAAUAAAAUUGUAUUGUUCUAAACUACUAAGUUUGCAGUAAGUAGUUGCAGCAGCAAUAGGGAACUAAUACACACACACACACACCACACACACACACACACACACACACACUCCCCUGCCAUAAACCCACACAAGUGGAAAAAAGGAGACUAACUGAAGAGCUCCUGUUGAAAAAAGGAGUACUUAUAAGAGUAGGAAUGUUAAAUACAACCAGAUGCCCAUAUUCUUUGUUAUUCCAAAAAAAGUGUAAGUUUACAUAAUGGGGAUAUAUUUGUACAGUAUUUGCAUGUGAUGCAUCUUAUAUUUUAACUAUUUGUAUAGUCAUUUAAAAUUUUUUAUUUCUAAUUGACAUAAUAAUUGCAUAUAUUUAUGGGGUACAGCAUGGUAUUAGAAUACAUGUAGUAAUUAGAUUGUGGUAACUGGAAUAUCUGUUAUCUCAAACAUUUAUCAUUUCUUUGUGUUGGGAACAUUCUCUGUCCUAGCUUUUUUGAAAUAUACAAUUGAUGGCUGUCAAUCACAGUUUCCCUACUGUGCUGCAGAACAUUAGAAGUUUAAAAAACUGUACCUUUGUAUCCAUUAGCCCUCUCCAUUUCUUUUACCCACCUCCACCCUUCCCAGCCUCUGGUAACUACUUUUCUACUAUAAUUCUUUGAGAUCAACUUUGUAAAAAAUAAAGUGAAAUUAGGUAGUACUU
rnacentral:lncRNA from 1 species